rnacentral:lncRNA from 1 species
AAACACUAAACACUCAAGGGUUUAGGGUUUAGGGUUUAGGGUUUUAGGAUUUAGUGUUUUUGAUUUAGAGUAUGAAUUAUCCAAGUGUUUAAAAUUUGCCCAAGGGUUUAUAGGGUUUAUGAUUUAGGGUUUAGGGAUUAGGAUUUAGGGUUUAGUGUUUUGCUGACGACGAUAAAAAUAUUUUUUUUUUUUAAAUUCGUUUUUCUCUAACUAUUUUUUUUUUUUAAUUUUUUUAACCUUUUUUAUUUUUAAAAUAUAAUAUAUUUUGACAAUAUUUUGUUUCUUUUUCUAAAAUAUAUCAAACGUGAAAUAAUGAAAUCUUAUUGGUUGGUGAACCUAAAGGUUCACCCUAAGGGGUGAACCCAAGAAUAACUCUUAAAAAAAUGGUCUACAAAAUUUGAAAUAUGUUCCUAUUAAGACAUCUGGUACAGUUUGUACUGCUAAUGUUGUACAACUUUUUAGCUAUAAAUUUGAUAUUAUUCAUGUUACUGUCAAAAAAAUUGAAAAUAACAUCUAAAACUAUUACCAAAUAUGAAACGAUCUAGAAAAUUAGACCGGAAUAAAACAAACAACAA